rnacentral:rRNA from 1 species
ACUCCUACGGGAGGCAGCAGUGGGGAAUAUUGCACAAUGGGCGCAAGCCUGAUGCAGCGACGCCGCGUGGGGGGUGAAGGCCUUCGGGUUGUAAACCUCUUUCAGUAGGGAAGAAGCGAAAGUGACGGUACCUGCAGAAGAAGCGCCGGCUAACUACGUGCCAGCAGCCGCGGUAAUACGUAGGGCGCAAGCGUUAUCCGGAAUUAUUGGGCGUAAAGAGCUCGUAGGCGGUUUGUCGCGUCUGCCGUGAAAGUCCGGGGCUUAACCCCGGAUCUGCGGUGGGUACGGGCAGACUAGAGUGAUGUAGGGGAGACUGGAAUUCCUGGUGUAGCGGUGAAAUGCGCAGAUAUCAGGAGGAACACCGAUGGCGAAGGCAGGUCUCUGGGCAUUAACUGACGCUGAGGAGCGAAAGCAUGGGGAGCGAACAGGAUUAGAUACCCUGGUAGUCCAUGCCGUAAACGUUGGGCACUAGGUGUGGGGGACAUUCCACGUUUUCCGCGCCGUAGCUAACGCAUUAAGUGCCCCGCCUGGGGAGUACGGCCGCAAGGCUAAAACUCAAAGGAAUUGACGGGGGCCCGCACAAGCGGCGGAGCAUGCGGAUUAAUUCGAUGCAACGCGAAGAACCUUACCAAAGGCUUGACAUGAACUGGAACAGCGCAGAGAUGUGUUGGCCGCUUGC